ensembl:misc_RNA Metazoa_SRP Metazoan signal recognition particle RNA
GCUGGGCGUGGUGGCUCACGCCUGUAAUCCCAGCAUUUUGGGAGUCUGAGGCAGGUGGAUCACCUGAGGUCAGGAGUUCGAGACCAGCCUGACCAACAUGGUGAAACCCUGUCUCUA